rnacentral:ribozyme from 1 species
UGCCCAGAAACUCCUAUCCCUACCUUCACGUGGUACCGGCCGGAAACUAUGAGCAAUCUUAGGGAAGAUCGGGUAACCAACUCCGGUGGGAACUUUGACAGAGAAGG